rnacentral:rRNA from 1 species
UACGAAGGUUAACCAGCGACGAAAAAACCUAAACCUAUCGCCCGCUCCCUCGCGCCCCUGUUGCUCCCUCCUCGAUCCCGAUCUGGAACGAGGGGACGAGGAGCUCCUGCCUCCCCGACGGCCGGCCUCCUCCUCGCCCCGCCGCUGCAUCCGGCGCCGCCACGGGCUCUGGAGCCAGGGAAGCCAUGGCCUGAGCUCGGCCUCGAGGUCCCCCCGCCGUAUCCUGCAGCUUCUGCCCCGCCGCCUCAACGCCCGAGCUCGCCAUCGCACCAACCUCGGCGCCGCGCCGCCUCCGGCUCUGGUCGCCUCCACCUCCGCUCCAGGCAACCCUCGGUCGCCGGCUCGCUGGAGCACGACGGCAGACGAUGGAUGCCCUGGUUGUGUGCGACGGAUGCAGUUCUUACGCGCAAGCUAGGGUUGGAGCCGCCAGCUCUUCAUCCUGCCCGCCGGCGGCGAGUCUUCCCGUCCCGCACUGCCGCCUCCCCGUUAUCACAGCAUGGUCAAAACAAUGGUGCCUUCACCCUUGCUCGUGCCUCAACCCACAUGGUCAUCUUUGAGACGUGGUAUUCAGUCACAUGACAGAGUUCUCUUUAUCCUUGAGGUCAGGUGCGGCAACUAGCGACAUGUGCUGGAACUUCUGGCAUCGCUGGAGGCGGCAUCACCUGCAUCGACCUCUCCCUGGUCGCCUUCGAGAGUGUGUGCGGCCGACCAUCAAGCUUGUUAUGACGCACUUUGAAUUUCCGAGCAAGUCGCAGCCUUUUCAGAUUCAUCAACACAGGUUACAUCAGUAGUCAAUAUGGUUCGGAUGCAUAAUAGUACGUACUUCAUUUCCUUUUUGUUGUGUACGGUGACCUACAACAUGGAUCAUAUGUACCGGUUAUCUUUCAGGUUCAGUUUGCUGUGGCGAAUUCUUCUUGAAUUUGUUGCGGCAAACUUGUGGUCAUGUAUGGUUUUUAGUUUUGUAAGCAUGCAUAGUUUAGAAGUUAGAAAGCUCGUUCAUGUAUUGUUCUAAACUGAAAGUUUAAGUGGCUUUUCCACCCAUGGUAUUGUGGUGGUCAUAAUAGCACACCUCACAAUUAUUAUGGCCAGAUCUACAAGCACUAAGCGUUGUGUUUUUUAGCCCCCUCUAUUUCUCUUGGGCAUCAAUCUAUGCGCAACAAGCUCUUCAGUGCUUGAUGACAAAUAAAGGUUGCAUCUUAGAUAUUUGCUUGAUUUGAAUGAGCCAUUUUGCUGUCAGCUAAACUGUUAAAAGUCAGAUGUAAGAUUAUGUUUCUUGGCACAUGAGUUAUUUUUCAGUCAACGUGUGGCGAGUCCACUUCGAACUGAUAUAUGCACUUUUUAUUUGAAACUGAACCACCAUGGUUUAAUUUUAUUUUCAUUUGGACAAGUUACCCCAAGUAUCAUCAGUUCAUGAUGACUGGUUUGGUGUGAUGAAUUGAUCCUGGUGCUGAUUUAAGAGUUUUUUAUGACGCUGCCUUGUAAGGGAGUAAGGUCUGGUAUCUAUAUGGCUGUUAUUUUAGCUCUUACAGAUUGCCAUAUAUGACAUGCUAAUUGUUUUUAGCUCUUGAUAUAGUUAAACUUUUUUUUUGAAACGGAGGCAAAAGAUUUGCCUCAUCCAUUAAAUGGGAGGAGAAUAGAGUUAAACUUUGGAUGCACCAGUGCCUGAUGCAUAUGUUUGUUUACUUGGUUUAAACUCUGAAUGAUAUGUUGUUAUCCUGAUUGCAUGCCUGAUGAGUUGGUUCUGCUGGUAUUUUGAGGAGGCAAGCUGUGGUUUUACUCCUGGCCCUGAGAAGGGUGAACUAGGCCAUAGCGAGGGCGCCUUCAGGAACAUCGAGUCAGGGUGCCUCACUUUCUAUUUCAGUCUGCGAGGGUGAUACGUAUGAAGGAAAAGAGCCAGAGCGGCGCUUGGAUAAAAGUCAGUGAUGGAAUUUGUUUGGCAUAUGCGGAAAUCUUGGUAAAGGUUUUCAACAUCACGAAUUUCAUACUUAUGGAGUGGAGCUACCAAAAUAUCUAUUGAGGAAAUAUGUCGAAGCACAGAAUAUAUUCCAUAUGCAGUAGACUAACAGAACGACACAAGACAUAAAAAGAGGAGUAUAAGUGGAAACCUUUCUUUCUCUUUAAAUUCUUGAGGAUGGUAACAUUAUGAUGAAGGUGGAACCAUAGAGAGAUGUGUAUUUUUAAUUGAGAUAUUUUCAGGAGUACCUUUGCAAAGCUGAUAUAUCUUUCUUUUACAAGAUAUGGUUGCACUUGCUUCAUCUACAUAGGCCGUCUGGAAUGCCAUGAGGCCGGGAUUUGUGUAGGAAAUCUUCAAAGCUAUUAUAUUGGUCUCAAGAAACUUGCAAUACAUCAAUGCAUUUUUAUUUUUAUUUUUUGCUGACACCACAGCUACCACCUCUUCACUAAAUGACAGAGGUUCCCAGCAGCUGCACAUGGAAAGAUUGAAUGUUAUAUUCUGUCUACUAAUCAAUAAGGAGGGAGAUCAAAAUUACUGCUCUCAAAUAUUCGCCUGAUCAUUUGUAUGUUUCUACAAUUUUCCUGCUUGUUGGAACAUGUUUGAUGUACUUACACAUUAACAAAAAUGAUCUGUAACAUUCAUGAAAAUAUUUGGGUUUGGUCCUCU